ACAAAAAAUAUUUUAACCAUAUGGUCCUUUCGUACUAAUAUGGAUUAAUAAUCUUAGGAUAGAAACCGACCUGGCUCACGCCGGUCUGAACUCAGAUCAUGUAAGAAUUUUAAGGUCGAACAGACCUAAUCAUUGGGCUCCUGCACCCAAAAUUUUUCUUAAUCCAACAUCGAGGUCGCAAUCUGCUUUGUCGAUAUGAGCUCUCAAAAACAAUUACGCUGUUAUCCCUAAGGUAACUUAAUCUUAUGAUCAUAAAUUAUGGUUCAAAAUAACAAACAUAAGUAAUUGAUAUAAUAAUGAAGAGUUUAUCUAUUCUUCAUGUCACCCCAACAAAACAUCAUCAUUAAAUAUAGAAAGACAAACAAAAAACUAUAUAAAAGUAAAAUGUCAAGCUCUAUAGGGUCUUCUCGUCCUAAAGAAGAAUUUAAGCCUUUUGACUCAAAAGUUAAAUUCAAAAAUUUAUUAAGAGACAGUUGAUUUCUCGUCAAGCCAUUCAUUCCAGCCACUAAUUAAGAGACUAAUGAUUAUGCUACCUUUGCACGGUCAAAAUACCGCGGCUCUUUAAAAAUACGCUCAGUGAGCAGG